CGUGACACCAGAAUGACAACCGGAACGACAGCGUUACCAAACAAGCCGGCUGAGACUGGAACAACAACGUUAGCUAAUAGCAUCAUUAGCCUUCUCCCUGCGUGGCUUGGACAUGGUCUGUUCUGUGUUUGCACUAUACGUUGACUAGCAGAUUGCCCGAACAGGCUGACAGUUACUAGCUAGCUCAGCAGUGCCGGGUGAAAACUGCCAUCUUCCUGUGGAUUUACAGCUGCCGCUUCUGCUACUUCAAUUAGUUCUAUAGCACACAGAUGUUGCUUAAAUGUAGCUGCUAAUGAUGCCGCAAUAAGCCUAAGAUUCAUGCCAUAUUCACAGGCACGUAAAUUUCUCAAGUGGCACAAUUAAAGUGGGAAUAUUGGGAGGGUGUGUGAAGGAAGCUUGGCAGUUGGAGGGAACUUGGAAAGCUGUCCACCUGUUCCUCUAUUGGUCGGGAUCAAAUUAAACUGGAACACCAUUUUGGACUGUUAGCCAAUCUGGGGGUUUUGUGCGAAUUUCAGCCUUCUGAAGAACUGCGGGGCUUGUCGAAGUGGUAACUCCGUGGCAACCGCAUGGAGCUACAGCCAAAACAAGUCAGUUUAAUGCACUCCUUUGUCAAAAGGCUUUCUGAAAGGCAGAGAUUGAUUCACAGUGAAGGUUUGGGUGGCAUUCCCUGUGUUCUUCAAGUCUUUCAGCGUGAAUUCCCUCCGCAUCCGUAAUGACCGCCUAUUACCUGUUUAGUGAACUACUUAUUGACCGGGACCCAUACAGUACUGUGCAUCAGUGGGAGCUGUAUGACAGGGGCUAAACUGAGCUGAAAGGAAGUGCGCAGACCAGAUUCACAGCCAUCUUUUACAGUAAGCCACUGCCGCAUGCUCUCUGGUUACAACGAGUAUUAAAGGUUAAUCUCUCUAUUGUGAUUCAUUGUCACUUUAACAUUUAUAUUCAGCUUAGUGCCUCCAGAUUCUUCUUUUUUUCUGGGUCUUUAAGCUUCUCAUGGCUAUCUGCUCCAGCUGCAUGACUUAUCAUCUCUUCCACAUUAAAUUCACUGAAUCAGGGAGUGUGACGUAGCCGCUAACUUCUCUAAAUGUUCUCUCCGACCCGUCACCAUCCAACACCAUGGUUUUGAGUUCCAAACAGCACCCUCUUCUCCAUUCAAGUGCCCUUGUUAGCCCAGAGCCCUUCCCAUUGGUUCCGGUCAAACAUAGUGUGUGCACGGGGAACAGGGUACCAUUUGGAACGCGGGCAGCCCAUGUCUGGGUUAGAAGCCGUCAGGAGUUAUUUAUUCAGUGAGCAGUAGAGAUAGUGCUAAGCCUCUUUGCACCGUGGGCUCUGUGGCUCAGGGAGGUCGAUGGAGCACAGCUCAGGUGUCGCUGUAUUCAUAGCAGACUUGUGCCGUACCGAAUCUCCCGUGCAGAGGUGAAGCCAUUACAAUGUGUGCAUGUUAAGUCAAUUUGCUUCCAUGUCACCGUAGUGAGUCGGCGUGUGUAAGUGUGAAUGCGACGGGCUGAAUAGCGCCGGUGUUAUUUACCUUGCUCGACAAUAACUAACAGCCGAAUGUUAGGGUGCAUUAGACAGGUGGGAGGGAAAAGUGUGACAAUGUGGAGAUAAUUAGCCACGGGAACAAAACACAAACAAUCACACAAAACAGGUUUUGUUGUUUGUAUUUUCUUUGAGUGUCCCUUUUCUCCCCAAGAACUCUGAUCUUUAAUGUGUGUGUUGUAUUGUCUGUAAUGUUUAUGACAGAUGGUCUGUACUAUUCAUAUAUUUUUUUCUGUGUUAUUUAUGUCACUUUGUCGAGAAUAUUUAUGUCAUAUUGUCUUUAGUAUGUAUGUACUAUUGUCCGUAAUUUUCAUGUAAUAAUUUCUGUAGUAAUUAUGUAAUAUUGUCUUCAGUAUGUAUGUAAUUUUGUCUUUAAUAUUAAUGUUAUGAUGUCUGUAGUAUUUAUGUCAAAAUGAUUCCCCUGAAAAUACUGUACUAUGUCUGUGCAGAUAUUUGACGUGCAAAAUUAAGUGAGGUGUGACAGAAAAUCUACUUUCAGAUUAUGGACACAUAAGCAACAUAUCACAUCCCGCUCAAAAUGCAGUGUUAUAGUUUGUUAUUUAAAAUGGUUCUGGGCUUAACCUUUAAAUAAGUGCUAUCCAAGUGGCCUUGUGAUUGGAUAAGUAAUUGUACAAUUUUCUGCAAUCACCAUCAGCUUGCAUUUGGAACAUUGGAUUUGACCCUUUUUCAGAAUGGAGCCACAUGUGGAAUGAACAUUGGUUGUCCUUUUGGCUGUCAAAAAAAGUGUUUGGCAAGUAAUCUAUUGACAAUAAAUCAGGAGGCUGGCUGAUUCUCACAACGAUUGCAACAUUGAUUGGACUAAUGAAUCAUAUCAUUCCGCCAAUUACCCAGCGAGGAAGGACUAACAAUAGGCUGUUGGAGGUCAAUCACCUGUUUGUCGGAAGGAUAAGCAGUGUCCACACCUCCCCACUUUCAGUGUACAAUAUACAAUACACAAGAGGCUAGAGACAUAGGAAACGGACAAGAAAAUCAACGUGUGUUAUAACUGGCAAAUGUGAACAUUAUUUGUUUUACUAGCUUCCUGAUGCCAAUUCUCCAGCUGUUAAUGAUACAGUCACUCCCUGACUACCAGAAAAUGAAAACCUGCCCCACCACCCUGGCUACAGUUACAUAUAACAAAACCACAACACGGCACACAGAGAUCUAUAACCUUUGCCGCCAUCAAAUACUUGCCGCAAUGUCCUAAUAUCCCAGCAUGCCCCUCAUUCAAUCAAAGGAACAGAACACUCGUUAUUAACAAAUUCUAAUCAUUGUCCUGUAUCAUCGUUUUAAUGUGAUCAUUAAAUAUUCAUAAAUCCUCUGUCAAUACUGGCUCAAAACCCUGCAGUGGUAGAAGUCAUGGGUUUGUUCAUUUAAACGUGCUGCGCUCUGAGAUCAAGUCAAAGGUCAGAGGGCAGAGUCACGCGAUUAAAGGCAAGCGAUGCUAGCUGAAGGCGGAGGG